rnacentral:lncRNA from 1 species
AUUUAACAGGGGAAGUUUUAAUGUUUUAAUGUAUUACAUGAAAAAACACAUUACGGUAAAAUACAUUACAAUAUUCUUCCUAGAAUUGGUUCAACAAAAUUUGCUGGAUAAAGAGCAAAAAAACAGAACAUAUAAUACAUCCAGAACCAAACUACCAGAACCAAGUUACUUCACUUUGGUUCAACAAAAUUUGCUGGACAAAGGGCAAAAAAACAAAACAUAUAACACAUCCAAGUUCUAAAACAAAUACAACACAAUAUAAAAUCUAAAAUUCAAAGUUUUAAAGUAAUAAACAUCCACAACUACAAAUCCAUAACAUAAUUCUACAAUUUAAAGCUCAAAUUUCCAGCCACUAGUGCUAAAGACUAAACUCUGAAUCAUCCACUUCAUUUGAUUGUUGCUCAAUCAUCCAACUUUCAUCAAUCAAAUGCUCUGCAGAAAGUAUUGCUUCCUCUGGAAUUCCAUCUACAAAAAAUGUGUAAAUUAUAAACAUAAUGAACAACACAACCAAUUAGUGAUAAAUUGAUAAUACAGGACAUUAUUAAUCAAGAAUUCAUAAGAUUAAGAUUUUGAAGAGACAUUAUUAAUCAAGAAAAUUACAGAACAUUAACUUUGAAUUCUUAACAAGAACAUUAUUAAUCAUGAAUUGGAGGGUACCGGAUUUUAUCUGGCCCUCCAAUUAAUUGGAAGAAGCAUGCGAGAGGCUGGCAAAGAACAAAAGAGGAUUUGAAUAAGGAACAAACUGCUAUUGAAAAUGUAGCUAAGAGCCUUUGCUGGGAAAAUAUAAAAGAGAAAGGUGAUAUUGCUAUCUGGCAAAAGCCUAUUAAUCAUUUGAACUGUAAAACAAAUCAAAAACUCUCUCAGAGUCUACCUUUCUGCCCAGUUCAAGAUCCAGAUAAAGCUUGGUUCGUGUUACUUUUAGUUUAAACCAAAUUUAACAUUAUGUAUUUUCAUUUUGUCCAUGCUCUGUCAGAAAAUAACCCAGUCGAAGCUCAACUCAGCAAAACAAAACAAAAUAUCCUCAGCCCUCGAAUGUCCAAAAGAUAAGAUGAAUAAUGAAUCAAAAGGGAUGAGGCCAAAGCAAAAAAGAUGCAGUUUUUUUUCCCUCUAGUACCAACUUUUUAUUAACACAACCCCACAACCACGAACUAAAACAUAAUUAAUUAAUACAAAUCAAGUCCAAUACCACUUUUUUAUUAACACAACCCCACAACCACAAACUAAAACAUAAUUAAUUAAUACAAAUCAAGUCAAAAAAGUACCUAAGUGCAUCAAUAACAAAAAAAGUUGCAAACUUUUGAUGAAUUAAAUAAAUAACAAAGAACUAACUUUUUGCUUACCAGAAGAAAUGGAUCCAAGAAACCACAAACGAACCCAGCCGCGACUGAGGUGGAUUUCAACCCUUUUGCUGGCCGCGAUAGAGUGAGAGAUGAGACGUGUGAUGCUGAAUUGCUGAUGAGUGAUGAACCGAACAAAGCCUCACCGUGAAGGAGAGUUGAAGAGAGAGUGAGAGAGAUUAAGUGAGGACUGAGGACUGAGGAACGAGUCACGGCUCACGGGUGAGAGAGAUUGAGAGAGGAACGGAUUAUGGAUGAGACUUGAGAGAUUGAGAGGAGAAAUUACAAAUUUACAAUAGAGUUCAAUACUUCAGUUGAAGGAGAAAUUUCGAGAGAGGAACGAGAGAGAUUGAGAGAUCUAGGGUUCACUUUUGCUUUUUU